rnacentral:misc_RNA from 1 species
GAAAUCACCGGCCUAGCCGGUAUAAAAUUCUAUCCACCCUUGUGUGCAAACAAUGGAAGAAAAGAGAGCCAUUUGGAUACUUUUGUAUCCAAUCUCUCUAAAAUUUUAUAAACUCCAUCAAAUUUUGAAUAAAACUAAUUUUUUUUUUAAAUAAAAAUAUUAUA